CCGGCCUCUAAGAGUCAUCCACACGAGCCCAUGAAUCAAGAUCAAAAGUCCUGGUCCAAGAAAUCAGCAUAGUAUGCUAGUACUGCGCUGAUCCUUCUUCGAUGGUCGAUCAGAUGCCUCCUUCUUCUUGAUCUGGACUCUUCCAAAGAUGAGAAGUAGGAGAUGGAGUUUUAGAUGAGACACUCUCAGAAAACUUAUAGA
rnacentral:lncRNA from 1 species